rnacentral:lncRNA from 1 species
GGGGUUGGCGAAGGAGGAAUCGCCACGUAGCGCAUCUGGGGCGGCGCGACUAUGGAGAGACGGCGGAAAAGCCGGGAGGCAUCGGGCCUUGCACCCGGGGGUCCGGCGAGGUGAUGAUGGGCGCGAGCUGCGAGGCGCUGCAGAAAGGGUCGUAGAGGGGCUUCCGCUGCGAUUGGGGAAGAGGGCGUGGGAAUCCAUCCGGUCGCGGCCGUCGACGGGGCGGAGCGGCGGGGGUCGGAGGAGUUGAGCCACGCGGAGGAGAAGCUCUGAAGCGGGCAUGCCACUCGAGUGCGUCUGCACCGGGAGAUCUGGGGGAAAGAUCUGCGGGUCCACCGGUC